rnacentral:rRNA from 1 species
AAGAAGGUUUUCGGAUCGUAAAACUCUGUUGUUGGAGAAGAAUGUAUCUGAUAGUAACUGAUCAGGUAGUGACGGUAUCCAACCAGAAAGCCACGGCUAACUACGUGCCAGCAGCCGCGGUAAUACGUAGGUGGCAAGCGUUGUCCGGAUUUAUUGGGCGUAAAGCGAGCGCAGGCGGUUUCUUAAGUCUGAUGUGAAAGCCUUCGGCUCAACCGAAGAAGUGCAUCGGAAACUGAGAAACUUGAGUGCAGAAGAGGACAGUGGAACUCCAUGUGUAGCGGUGAAAUGCGUAGAUAUAUGGAAGAACACCAGUGGCGAAGGCGGCUGUCUGGUCUGUAACUGACGCUGAGGCUCGAAAGCAUGGGUAGCAAACAGGAUUAGAUACCCUGGUAGUCCAUGCCGUAAACGAUGAGUGCUAGGUGUUGGAGGGUUUCCGCCCUUCAGUGCCGCAGCUAACGCAUUAAGCACUCCGCCUGGGGAGUACGACCGCAAGGUUGAAACUCAAAGGAAUUGACGGGGGCCCGCACAAGCGGUGGAGCAUGUGGUUUAAUUCGAAGCAACGCGAAGAACCUUACCAGGUCUUGACAUCCUUUGACCACUCUAGAGAUAGAGCUUUCCCUUCGGGGACAAAGUGACAGGUGGUGCAUGGUUGUCGUCAGCUCGUGUCGUGAGAUGUUGGGUUAAGUCCCGCAACGAGCGCAACCCUUAUUACUAGUUGCCAGCAUUUAGUUGGGCACUCUAGUGAGACUGCCGGUGACAAACCGGAGGAAGGUGGGGACGACGUCAAAUCAUCAUGCCCCUUAUGACCUGGGCUACACACGUGCUACAAUGGAUGGUACAACGAGUUGCGAGACCGCGAGGUUUAGCUAAUCUCUUAAAACCAUUCUCAGUUCGGAUUGUAGGCUGCAACUCGCCUACAUGAAGCCGGAAUCGCUAGUAAUCGCGGAUCAGCAUGCCGCGGUGAAUACGUUCCCGGGCCUUGUACACACCGCCCGUCACACCAUGAGAGUUUGUAACACCCAAAGCCGGUGAGGUAACCCUUCGGGGAGCCAGCCGUCUAAGGGGA